UCACCAACAGGGGCACUAUCCCACUGGAAACAUUUGGGCGCACAACUGUGUUCCCUUCAUCCUCUGGUGCUGGGCUGCACUCCAUGGGCAGCUCUGUGUUGAUCACAUCAGGGUCCUAGAAGGAUUGCACAGAAAUGUGUUACACUCUGAGUGCCUCCAGGGUGACUGUCACACCUGCAUUUUCAGAGAAAUAGCUUUGCGAGAAAAGCUUUUGGCAGAGGUUGGCAUUAGGCUUGGGCACUAUUCCUGCACCUCAUACAAGGUGCCAUAAGCCAUCUGGGCACUGCAUGCUGUUAGAACUUGCAAAAGUGUUGUCUUGUUUAUGUGCUUCCUUUGAACAGUCGCUGUGCUUUACUGAAAUCAGCAUAUGAGCUGAGGGUUGCCCGUAUAUAAUUUGCCUCUCAGGCAGGUUAAUCCAUGCCUCUAAUUGUAAAAUUCUACCAGAUGAUGAACACGCUGUGCCAUCUUCCCUCACCCUCCCAUUAACAAUUCAGCCAUGGCUUUCAACCAGCACUAAGCAAGGUCAAAGUGUGGACCUUCGCAGACAAUACCUUUCUAUCACAAAAAGAAGGGCAUUUUGCUACUGAACAAACAGUGAACUGGAAGCAGCCACUUGCACAGGAACAGUAUCAUGUGAUUUUGGUUGGGCUGAAGAUAGGUGAGCUAAGGUAGGUAGAUGAAAACACAAAUGAACAGUUGAACCAGCACUACCACUGGAAAGUACAUCAGCCUGUGAGGAGCCUUAAUCUUGUUUGCACUAAUAGUGCAUUUGGAUGGCUGGCAUUCUUGGGAAUUAUCAUCCAGUUACUGCGGGCCAAUACCUGCGUGCAGUACUUGAUUCUUUCCAGGAUGGUAGAGAAGUUUGGCCGGUAUUCUGGGCUGUGCUGCCAGCACUGCGUCAUGAUGCGGUACCUUAAGAUGAAAGAGAAUCCAUUAACAAAGACAACUGUGAAAGAUGUGUUUCAAUGUGAUGCGAGCUUGGGUCCAGAAGAACUGCACUCAGUAAAUGGCUCAAAGGAGUGGAGCAAAAGUAGACGUCAUUUCUGUAUCCUUGGAUCCCAACAGAAAGCAAAUCCUGUAGUGGUCUAACUUAUGUACAGGAGGCAGUGGCUCAAGAGAUGCUCAAUAAUAGUAUUGAUAUAUUUGGUACAAUCACCAGUCCCCAAUGGAAGGUGUCUAGUUGCCUUUGUCCAACCCUUUUGAACCACUGUUCCAUAGUUGAGAGAGUGAGGAAAUACUUACACAGGCCCUGGGCAGUUCUUUGGUGGGUCCAUUCUUCCUCCACUGGUGACAAAUUCCAGCACUUCCUGAUUAGUUUUGCAGGGAUAGGGCAUGUAGCCUAGAGAGAAAAUCUCCCAGAGAAGAACACCAAAGGACCUGCGUCAGAAACCAGAUAGUAAUGCUGAUUAGGUUUCCACAUUUGUGCUCCACAAACCUGGAACAAAGUUGGGUAGGUAAAAACACAGCAGCAACCUUUUGAACCUGCAGGCCAGCUACAGAAGUGUGCAAUUAGCCUGGUUAUGAGCCAACUUUGAUUUAGAAAAAAACAACAAAACAAUCAAUCAAAGCCCUUCUUCAAGCUCCCAAAGUAGCUUUGCAGACACCUCAAAAUAUCUGAAUUUGUUCUUUCUGCUGCAUUUGUUAUUUCUAGAACAGAAAAUGCUAAAGCACCCUUUGCUAUGCAUGGUCUAACUGAAAACAAGAACUGUUAUGUUUGGCUUGGAGAUUCCUAUCUUACUUUGACAGACUUGAGAUGUUUGAGUCAGUGUUUGGCAAAAGGAUGCUCAAGAAUAAAACAAGCUAGAGACCUUCACUAGAAGUGCAAAAGUAAACAUCGUCAUUAUAUGGUUGCUCUUUUUACAUCUACAGGUCAGUUAGGCAGUGACACUCAAAAUUUCUUACAAUGUAGACCCAGGGAAAUUGAGGGAUCUGCAAAGGCUUCAGUAGGGUCAUUAAUUGUAAGAGUCACUAUUUGGUGCAGAGGUGGAUGAGAUUUCCAGUACAUACACGUUAUGUACAAUAGCCUGUUACAGUUACAGGAACUGUAGUGCUCUCCUUCAAAAUAUUUACUACUGGCUGCUUGCAGUUAUGUUCUGAUACACAAUCCCUUCUCUUCUGGCAUUAACAACUUCAGGAAACUGGGUCAGUGUGCCAUUUAAGGUAAUAUUUCAGUGUGCUUAUUGAAAAGUACUGUAUAGGAAGAGAGGAGUUCUUAAGCAACUGGAAAGCUUCCAUUCCCCAGCACCUUUGCAUGAAUGUGUCAUUGUUGAGGGGGUGUUUAUUUUAAGGAAAAAUCAGGCUACAUGAAGAAUCGGUAUAUAAAUACUGUUUCCUCAGCAACAAGCAGGGGCUUCUUAAAUGUGCUGUCAUUUCAUAUACAAAAGGAAAAAAAAAAAAGGAUAGAAGAGUAAUCCUGUGUGGUAUAGAUAGAGUCAUUUACAAAGUAUAUGAGCAGGCCUUGUCACCAGUAAGUACUGAGUGGCAGAUACUAAGAGCUGAAGGAAGUGUCUGCUUUUUUGACCGAGACUUCUUAGGAUUCUAAACGGUCUUCUCUUCACCCUUAUAUGAUACUCUGCAUUUAUCUAUGGCUAUUUGUUGUGCCCUCCACUUGCACUAGAGUUUUUAAUUUCACUUAAUUUCUUAGUCAGUCUUCUAACAAAGGGAAAUAUCUACUUUUUUUUUUCUUCCCAUUUUAGGACAUGGAAGAUUGAUAUCUUUAGGGCGUCCUGCUGCUUUUUUCCUUGAGCAGUAAAUGUGGUUUAUUAGUGAAUAGCAGAAGUUAUUAAUAGAUAUUUAUUACCAGGUAUCAGUUUUGGAGGUAAAAAUGCCUUCUAGAAAAGCUUCUGGCGGCAUCCACUUGACAGGAAGCAUGGCUCUUCCUCCCUUGCGAUAGUAACUUGCUCUGGGAAAGAUUAAAUAUAUGCAGAAUGUCACACAGCAUCAAAAGGCUAAGAUGUAUAAAAGAUCCUAUCACCACAGCAACAGGAACCGGAGAGAGUGCAUGCAGUACUGGGGGCCAAAUAAGAAAAAAUCAUCACCAUGAAUUGUACCAUCUGAGCAGUAUUUCAUACCAUGUUUGCAACUGAGAUGGAAAAAUGAUGAUGUUUAGGUGCAUAGCUGAAGAGAUCAAAUGUGCUGAAGUUGUGCAUGAGGCACUGAUACAGAAAAUUUUCUUGACCUCAUAUAUUUACAGUUAUGAAUAUUUUUAAAAUUCGAGAUUAUUUGUGAUCAACCAUCUUAUAAAUUUACCUGAGUUUGGUUUAGCAUCCAUAUGUGUUUGCAAUGCUCUCUAGGACCCAGUCUGGAAUGAUACAAUUUGAGUGUAUUUGCUACUAGGCAUAGAUGUGUUAAUUUACCGUCUGUUUACCCCAGUUAGUUAACUAGAAAUCAAAUUCAGAAAUGUAAUAGACAGUUCAGCUGCUUCAAAUUAGAUGAGGCAGUUCAAACCAUUUAAAUGGAUACAGAUUACUGAGUAAUUCAUGUGACUGAAAUGGCCUUUCACUUACCUGUAGAUAUCUCUGGCCAUCCCAAAGUCACCAAUUUUGGCUAUUCGACCUGCUCCAGUGCAGGUCAGAAGGCAAUUCCUUGCAGCUAUAUCUCUUUAAGAAAAAAGAGAAAAAGGAAGAAAGAAAAAAAAAAGCACAUAAGAGAAAACUUCUUCACUGUGAAGGGAACAGAACACUGGAACAGCUGCCCAGGGAGGCUGUGGAGUCUCCUCUGGAGAAGUUCAGAACCUGCCUGGAUGAUCCUGAACGAUGUGCUGUAGGUGACCCUAUUUGAAGCAGGAGGGCUGGACUAGGUGGCCCCAUAUGGUCCCUUCCAUCCUCAGCCAUCUAUGAAUGGAUAAUUCUGUCUAAUUUUGAACUCCUAUCUAGCUACAGGAAUAAAGAAAGAAAGUUACAUCCAGCCCUACAAGUCUUAGCUGAGUCAUCUUAACACAGAUGAGGAUAACUUUAGUGAAAACAAAAAACUAUUCUAACUACACAAUCAUUUUCAUUAACUGUAAUUAUUAAACUGCAUUUGCAUU